GUCUUGGUGGCUCAGAUGGCAGAGCGCUGGAGCACCGAUCCAGAGGCCGUGAGUUCAAGUCUCACCCAAGACA